rnacentral:rRNA from 1 species
GACGUAGGGCGCGAGCGUUGUCCGGAUUUAUUGGGCGUAAAGAGCUCGUAGGCGGCUUGUCGCGUCGACUGUGAAAAACCCGUGGCUCAACCAUGUGGUCUGCAGUCGAUACGGGCAGGCUAGAAUUCGGUAGGGGAGACUGGAAUUCCUGGUGUAGCGGUGAAAUGCGCAGAUAUCAGGAGGAACACCGGUGGCGAAGGCGGGUCUCUGGGCCGAUAUUGACGCUGAGGAGCGAAAGCGUGGGGGAGCGAACAGG